rnacentral:rRNA from 1 species
UACGUAGGGUGCGAGCGUUGUCCGGAAUUAUUGGGCGUAAAGAGCUCGUAGGCGGUGUGUCGCGUCGGCCGUGAAAACCCGUGGCUCAACUGCGGGCUUGCGGUCGAUACGGGCGGGCUAGAGUUCGGUAGGGGAGACUGGAAUUCCUGGUGUAGCGGUGAAAUGCGCAGAUAUCAGGAGGAACACCGGUGGCGAAGGCGGGUCUCUGGGCCGAUACUGACGCUGAGGAGCGAAAGCGUGGGGAGCGAACAGG